rnacentral:misc_RNA from 1 species
GAAAUGCGAUACGUAAUGUGAAUUGCAGAAUUCAGUGAAUCAUCGAAUCUUUGAACGCACCUUGCGCUCCUUGGUAUUCUUUGGAGCAUGCCUGUUUGAGUAUCAUGAAAUCUUCAAAGUAAAUCUUUUGUUAACUCAAUUGGUUUCUACUUUGGUAUUGGAGGUCUUUGCAGCUUCACACCUGCUCCUCUUUGUUCAUUAGCUGGAUCUCAGUGUUAUGCUUGGUUCCACUCGGCGUGAUAAGUUAUCUAUCGCUGAGGACACUGUAAAAGGUGGCCAAGGUAAAUGCAGAUGAACCGCUUCUAAUAGUCCAUUGACUUGGACAAUACUUUUAUGAUCUGAUCUCAAAUCAGGUAGGACUACCCGCUGAACUUAAGC